rnacentral:rRNA from 1 species
GACGAACGCUGGCGGCGUGCUUAACACAUGCAAGUCGAACGGAAAGGCCUCUUUCGGGGGGUACUCGAGUGGCGAACGGGUGAGUAACACGUGAGUAACCUGCCCUUGACUUUGGGAUAACUUCAGGAAACUGGGGCUAAUACCGGAUAGGAGCUCCUGCUGCAUGGUGGGGGUUGGAAAGUUUCGGCGGUUGGGGAUGGACUCGCGGCUUAUCAGCUUGUUGGUGGGGUAGUGGCUUACCAAGGCUUUGACGGGUAGCCGGCCUGAGAGGGUGACCGGCCACAUUGGGACUGAGAUACGGCCCAGACUCCUACGGGAGGCAGCAGUGGGGAAUGUUGCACAAUGGGUGGAAGCCUGAUGCAGCAACGCCGUGUGCGGGAUGACGGCCUUCGGGUUGUAAACCGCUUUCGCUCAUGACGAAGCUUUGUGUGACGGUAGUGGGUAAAGAAGCACCGGCUAACUACGUG